rnacentral:rRNA from 1 species
CACGUAGGGCGCGAGCGUUGUCCGGAAUUAUUGGGCGUAAAGAGCUCGUAGGUGGCCUGUCGCGUCGGCUGUGAAAACUCGGGGCUCAACUCCGAGCUUGCAGUCGAUACGGGCAGGCUAGAGUUCGGCAGGGGGAGACUGGAAUUCCUGGUGUAGCGGUGAAAUGCGCAGAUAUCAGGAGGAACACCGGUGGCGAAGGCGGGUCUCUGGGCCGAUACUGACACUGAGGAGCGAAAGCGUGGGGAGCGAACAGG